GACGAACGUUGGCGGCGUGCCUAACACAUGCAAGUCGAACGGAGAUAGCAAUAUCUGAGUGGCGCACGGGUGAGUAACACGUAGCUUACCUACCCUAAAGAGCGGGAUAACGUUCCGAAAGGAAUGCUAAUACCGCAUAAGCUCACGAUCUACAGAGGGUUGUGAGAAGAGGAGCAAUCCGCUUUAGGAUGGGGCUGCGG
rnacentral:rRNA from 1 species